UCUCAGAAAACAUAACCGAGGUUGGAGAC
rnacentral:piRNA from 1 species